CUUCCUGCAGUCGACGCGAAAGGGGGGCAACCCCCGAGUAGAGUGGCGAACGGGUGAGUAAUACAUCGGAACGUACCCAGUAGCGGGGGAUAACCUCUCGAAAGAGAGGCUAAUACCGCAUACGACCUACGGGUGAAAGAGGGGGAUCGCAAGACCUCUCACUAUUGGAGCGGCCGAUGUCGGAUUAGCUAGUUGGUGGGGUAAUGGCCUACCAAGGCGACGAUCCGUANCUGGUCUGAGAGGACGGCCAGCCACACUGGAACUGAGACACGGUCCAGACUCCUACGGGAGGCAGCAGUGGGGAAUUUUGGACAAUGGGCGAAAGCCUGAUCCAGCCAUGCCGCGUGAGUGAAGAAGGCCUUCGGGUUGUAAAGCUCUUUCGGCUGGGACGAAAAGGUCCGUGCUAACACCACGGAUCCAUGACGGUACCAGCAGAAGAAGCACCGGCUAACUACGUGCCAGCAGCCGCGGUAAUACGUAGGGUGCAGGCGUUAAUCGGAAUUACUGGGCGUAAAGCGUGCGCAGGCGGUUUGCUAAGACAGGUGUGAAAUCCCCGGGCUUAACCUGGGAACUGCGCUUGUAACUGGCAAGCUAGAGUGUGGCAGAGGGGGGUGGAAUUCCACGUGUAGCAGUGAAAUGCGUAGAGAUGUGGAGGAACACCGAUGGCGAAGGCAGCCCCCUGGGCUAACACUGACGCUCAUGCACGAAAGCGUGGGGAGCAAACAGGAUUAGAUACCCUGGUAGUCCACGCCCUAAACUAUGUCAACUGGUUGUCGGGGAAGCAAUUCCUUGGUAACGAAGCUAACGCGUGAAGUUGACCGCCUGGGGAGUACGGCCGCAAGGUUAAAACU
rnacentral:rRNA from 1 species